rnacentral:pre_miRNA from 1 species
AAUCUAACAGAAACAUUUCUGCACAAACUAAAUUUCUGAAACCAGUAUGUGGAAAUGCUUCUGCUACAUU